GACGAACGCUGGCGGCGUGCUUAACACAUGCAAGUCGAGCGGUAAGGCCCUUUCGGGGGUACACGAGCGGCGAACGGGUGAGUAACGCGUGGGUGACCUGCCCUCAGCUCUGGGAUAAGCCUGGGAAACCGGGUCUAAUACCGGAUAUGACUCCAUGACGCAUGUUGUGGGGUGGAAAGCCUUGUGCGGCUGAGGAUGGGCCCGCGGCCUAUCAGCUUGUUGGUGGGGUGANGGCCUACCAAGGCGACGACGGGUAGCCGGCCUGAGAGGGCGACCGGCCACACUGGGACUGAGACACGGCCCAGACUCCUACGGGAGGCAGCAGUGGGGAAUCUUGCGCAAUGGGCGAAAGCCUGACGCAGCGACGCCGCGUGAGGGAUGACGGCCU
rnacentral:rRNA from 1 species